rnacentral:lncRNA from 1 species
UAAUCUAUUUUUGUAUUUGACACCCUAAUGCCUUAAUUAGCAUUUGGGAUGUCACACCUCUCGUUCUUUUUAAGUGUGUGGCUAGCUAGCCUACAAGUUGGGCCUAGCGGGUCGAGCGACUCAGGUCACCUGCCCGCGGGAGCCUGUCCUACAUGCGCGGCCUCAAACAUGCCAUCAUCAUCGGGUGUUACCUUUCUUACUAUUCUUCAAGUCC